rnacentral:lncRNA from 1 species
UAGUACACCAAUAUUAAUCUUACAAAGAUAAACAUAAAUUACAAUUUAAGUUACAAUUUGAUACUCAUGUUGUAUUUAUAAAUUACUGGCACUUUAUGACAAUAGCUUUUUAACAUCACGCAUACAUGUAUAUACAAAAAAUAGCGUCAUAUAAGUUAUUUUCAAAUCGAAGCAGUUUUCGUAUUUCAUAUACGAUAUUCAUUGAAUAUAUUGUUUUGACAUUGCUGAUAAAUUGCAGAAUGAUAUUAUAUACCCUUGGUAGGUGUGAGGUCUAAGUAGUUCAACUACUGGAUCACUAGCCUGUCAUUACUAAGGUUGUGAGUUUGAAUCCAGCACGUACGUGCCAGGUGCUCUCAUUUCAAUAUUAAUUGACAAGAAUAAUCGGAUGGUCGGUGAUUCUCUCUGGACAUUCCCAUAUCCUCCACAAAUAAACGACACUAUAAUAAAAUAGCCAAUAAUUCACAAAGUGGCAUUAAAAACCAACAAGCAAUCAAUCAAUCGAUUAGUCUGAUCUCCUUUUUAUUGUAUAAACCACACCUGUGUCCCAUCUUUCUAUCAUUUACGUGAUAUAUGUAAACUUAUGUAAAUUAUAUUCUGAUAAUAUAUGUACACUGUUUGGUUAAAAAUAAUUUAUUAGAAUAUCAAACUGACCAAAGGAUUCGGGUAAUUGGAAAAUAUUUCAAUAGUCAAGAUAACAUUAAAGAAGCUGCUGCGCCAUGAGCGCAUGAUACAUACGCCAAAUUUUCAAACAAAGUUCAAUAACUUUUCAAUAUCAUAUUAGAAAUUUAUAACAAAACUAAAAGUAGGUAGUCCUAAUUCAUGUUAUAGAGUCACCAAAGAUUCAUUAGAGCUACUCAAAGAUAUUGUCCGAAAGCUGGAAAAUCACCCCUUUUUAUAACAAAAUGCUGAAACUCGGAAACGUUAAAUCUAAAACUUAUAAAAAUCGAAAGGGCAGAUAUAAACAAUUCACCAAAGUUUCAUGAAAACUGCUGAAAACAUUUUUUAAGUGCUUGCCCGAAAAUGAACAAAACCCCAGUAAACGUAAAAUCUGACUGAAGAACAGACGAACUGACAACAGACGGAAAACAACUGUUUACCAUAUUUACGUUCCAUAAAUAGUCGUGUACAAAUGUUAAAAACUUUAUUUUGACAAAAAUAUAAUAUUUUGGUUCAAACAACUUUAAUUACAGGUAAGAUUCUCAGUUUGAAAAUACUAUAAACAAUUUAAUGGCACAAGAAAAUUUA